rnacentral:rRNA from 1 species
UACGAAGGGGGCUAGCGUUGUUCGGAAUUACUAGGCGUAAAGCGCACGUAGGCGGACUAUUAAGUCAGGGGUGAAAUCCCGGGGCUCAACCCCGGAACUGCCUUUGAUACUGCUAGUCUCGAGUCCGGAAGAGGUGAGUGGAAUUCCGAGUGUAGAGGUGAAAUUCGUAGAUAUUCGGAGGAACACCAGUGGCGAAGGCGGCUCACUGGUCCGGUACUGACGCUGAGGUGCGAAAGCGUGGGGAGCAAACAGG